UUGACUGUGUGAAAGUUGAUGAUACAAAUUAGGUCAUUCUUGUCUUACCCAACUAAAUCAGAGUCAAGGGGCCAGGAGAAAAAAGCACUCAGGGCACAUAGCACCAUAGCACCUGCUCCAAAAUUUACACUUUCUAUAAGCCUAGCUGCUGAAACAGCCUGGUG